UGGGAUAACCAUGUCUGCUACUCUGUGGGCACCAUAUGGAUGGGAAUUUUGUGGGUUUUCUGUGGAUUCCCAGUACUGAGAAGAGAGUCUGUCCUAUAGGAAGAGGUGUGGAAGCUGCUACUCUGGAAGCUGCCCUGGGCUAUAAAAGGUUGAUUGACCUCCUGCCGAGAUGUCCUGCCAGCAGAACCAGCAGAGGUGCCAGGCCCCUCCCAAGUGCAUCCCCAAGUGCCCUGUCCCUAAAUGCCCCCCAAAGUGUCUCCCAAAGUGCCCUCCAGUCUCUUCCUGCUGUGGUCCCAGCUGUGGGGACUGCUGCCUGAGCCACCACAGGCCCCGUCUCUUCCACGGGCCCGGCACCAGAGCCCUGACUGCUGUGAGUGUGAGCCCUCGGGGGGCACCAGGUGCUGUGAAUGCUCUGGGGACAGCUGCUGACCCAGACCUUGGGUAUCACAGAAAUCUGUAGGAAAAAUCUCCAGAGUGAAGCUCUAGAAUGAAGCUUCUCCUGCUCCUAUCUCUCUUCAUGGGGCUGAUAGGGCAUAGGAGGUGUCCUGUUUGUUCUGGUCACCCAAGGUUUAUACUGGAUCCCGA